rnacentral:rRNA from 1 species
CGGGUGAGUAACACGUGGAUAACCUACCUAUAAGACUGGGAUAACUUCGGGAAACCGGAGCUAAUACCGGAUAAUAUUUUGAACCGCAUGGUUCAAAAGUGAAAGACGGUCUUGCUGUCACUUAUAGAUGGAUCCGCGCUGCAUUAGCCAGUUGGUAAGGUAACGGCUUACCAAGGCAACGAUGCAUAGCCGACCUGAGAGGGUGAUCGGCCACACUGGAACUGAGACACGGUCCAG